CAAAGAUGAAAUUAUAUAGAAAUGUAUAUUAAAAUAAUUUAUUUAAUAAAGGUAGUGUUAUUAUAAAUAAUGAAAGUGCAAAUAUAUUACUUAUAUAUUUUUGGCACUUAACAGUUUACAAACGUAUUCUAGAGCUGCAGGAAUGCUUCGGAACUCAUAAUGUUUAUUUAUACCACUUUAAUACCAAAGAAAAAGAAGGUGUCGAUUGAAAUAUGUUACAAAUAAUUAUUUUAAGUAAACGAAGGCAAAUUAAUGAAUAAAUAUGAAAUGAUGUAAUGAAUGCACAUUAAUGAAUAUAUGCUCAAAAUAGAACUCAGAUGUGAUGAAUAUUAUGGCAAUAAAUUACUCAAUGUUGAGCUUACAUAGAUGUGAUCUCAUCUCAUUUUGUCAGGAGAUUCUGAGACUGUAUUGCGAUGUGGCUAUCCAGAUUUUCUGCGAACCCUGGACAAUUCUGAUCCUGAGUUCUGAAUCUUACAAUGGACAGCCUCCGACACAUAAUUUUGGAAUACUACUAACUGUAUUUCUUGCAGUUUCUCACAGACUUUAUGCACACUUUGUUUGUUUAUACAAACACCUCUUAAUAAAAUCAAUUUGGUGAAAUCUAUCAGAUGCUACAAAGGGCGA